UGGACACUUCAGAAUCAUAGGAUUAGUUAAGAAAAAGGCAAAAUGGCAACUUGCAAAGGCCUGAGGAAUAUGAAAAGUAAACAAUAAGAUUUCUAGCGAAAAUUUACGCAUACAUAGUAUAUAAUAAACAUAGGCUAGCGUGUACUGUACAGAGCCGUCGUUCUGACGGGCUAUGUUGAGGCGCUACCACUGCCGAAAACCCUUGCCCCUUCAGUCCAAUAUGUACAAGUAUCCGUUGUUGUCAAACGCUCAAUGCUCUCCAAAAUGAGCACUGGAGGGGUCAGCGUGUUUAAGAACAGGGGG
rnacentral:sRNA from 2 species